AUAUAUAUAUAUAUUAUUUAUAUACUUCCGUAUGAUACAUCUCCUCUUGGUAAAAGCUAUAAAGAUAUAUAUACCUUUACGACUUGCCAUCUUUUUCCCAGAUUCGGGUUACAUGUCAGUUGUACAAAGUUAAGGAGACAACAAGGUCAUGGUUUCCGAGGGCUACAUUUCUGCACCAUUUGGAGAUAAUAGUGCUUCUUCUUCUACUGCUGAAUAUACAAAAGGCUGCAAAAAGCUUUUCCUGUAAACCAGAGUAAUUUACCCAAAUUUGAUUCAUCUCAAUUUGGUCAAUGAGUCUGGCUCUGAAGGUGGUUCAAAGAAGCCUGCUGAGAAUGGAUUUAUGACAUGAGGUGGCUGUAAUAGCUCAAGCAGUAGAGCAUGAAGACAAUCAUGGCAUUGAAGAUGAAAGGAAGGUCUUCAAAAACACCACAGAAGAAGUAAGUCACAAGAUUCAAACACCACAGAAAAAGUAAGCGACAAGACUUGAAAGUGACGACUACAAUGUAAGAAGAAAGCUAAAGAAGUAUUUGUAAUGAGAAGAUUAAGAAAGUUUCUACGGUUUUGUGUGUCCCCGAGGAUUCAGUUUGAUUUGUUUUGUUUUCGUUACCAAAAUGCUAUUAUCAUACUGGUGCAUUUAG